rnacentral:rRNA from 1 species
UCUAUACGGCGAAACUGCGAAUGGCUCAUUAAAACAGUUAUAGUUUAUUUGGUGGUCAGCAAUUACAUGGAUAACCGUGGUAAUUCUAGAGCUAAUACAUGCGUCCAAACCCGACUUCGUGGAAGGGUUGUGUUUAUUAGAUACAGAACCCACCCAGGCUCCGCCUGGCCCUGAGGUGAUUCAUAAUAACCGAACGAAUCGCAUGGCUAUGCCGGCGAUAGACCAUUCAAGUUUCUGACCUAUCAGCUAUCGUCGGUAGGGUAUUGGCCUACCGUGGCAAUGACGGGUAACGGAGAAUUAGGGUUCGAUUCCGGAGAGGGAGCCUGAGAAACGGCUACCACAUCUAAGGAAGGCAGCAGGCGCGCAAAUUACCCAAUCCUGACGCAGGGAGGUAGUGACAAGAAAUAACAAUACAGGGCAUACAUGUCUUGUAAUUGGAAUGAGUAAACUUUAAAUCACUUUACGAGUAUCAAUUGGAGGGCAAGUCUGG